rnacentral:rRNA from 1 species
GACGAACGCUGGCGGCGUGCUUAACACAUGCAAGUCGAACGGAAAGGCCCUGCUUUUGUGGGGUGCUCGAGUGGCGAACGGGUGAGUAACACGUGAGUAACCUGCCCUUGACUUUGGGAUAACUUCAGGAAACUGGGGCUAAUACCGGAUAGGAGCUCCUGCUGCAUGGUGGGGGUUGGAAAGUUUCGGCGGUUGGGGAUGGACUCGCGGCUUAUCAGCUUGUUGGUGUGGUAGUGGCUUACCAAGGCUUUGACGGGUAGCCGGCCUGAGAGGGUGACCGGCCACAUUGGGACUGAGAUACGGCCCAGACUCCUACGGGAGGCAGCAGUGGGGAAUAUUGCACAAUGGGCGGAAGCCUGAUGCAGCAACGCCGCGUGCGGGAUGACGGCCUUCGGGUUGUAAACCGCUUUCGCCUGUGACGAAGCGUGAGUGACGGUAAUGGGUAAAGAAGCACCGGCUAACUACGUG